AGACAGGUGGUUGGCAUGGUUGUCGUCAGCUCGUGUCGUGAGAUGUUGGGUUAAGUCCCGCAACGAGCGCAACCCUACGUUUAGUUGCUAACGCGUGAAGGCGAGCACUCUAGACGAACUGCCGUUGACAAAACGGAGGAAGUGGGGAUGACGUCAAAUCAUCAUGCCCCCUAUGUUCUGGGCUACACACGUGCUACAAUGGCCGGUACAGACGGACGCAAAGCCGCGAGGUGGAGCAAAUCCUAAAAAGCCGGUCUCAGUUCGGAUUGCAGGCUGCAAUUCGCCUGCAUGAAGUCGGAAUCGCUAGUAAUCGCGGAUCAGCACGCCGCGGUGAAUACGUUCCCGGGCCUU
rnacentral:rRNA from 1 species